UACGGGAGGCAGCAGUGAGGAAUAUUGGUCAAUGGGCGAGAGCCUGAACCAGCCAAGUAGCGUGCAGGACGACGGCCCUAUGGGUUGUAAACUGCUUUUAUAUGGGGAUAAAGUGAGUUACGUGUAGCUUAUUGCAGGUACCAUAUGAAUAAGGACCGGCUAAUUCCGUGCCAGCAGCCGCGGUAAUACGGAAGGUCCAGGCGUUAUCCGGAUUUAUUGGGUUUAAAGGGAGCGUAGGCCGCCCCUUAAGCGUGUUGUGAAAUGCCGCGGCUCAACCGUGGCACUGCAGCGCGAACUGGGGGGCUUGAGUGCACGCAACGCAGGCGGAAUUCGUGGUGUAGCGGUGAAAUGCUUAGAUAUCACGAAGAACCCCGAUUGCGAAGGCAGCUUGCGGGAGUGCGACUGACGCUGAAGCUCGAAGGUGCGGGUAUCGAACAGGAUUAGAUACCCUGGUAGUCCGCACAGUAAACGAUGGAUGCCCGCUGUGUGCCCUAGAGGUACGCGGCCAAG
rnacentral:rRNA from 1 species